rnacentral:tRNA from 1 species
GGGUGGUUAGCUCAAUUGGCAGAGCACGCGGUUUACACCCGCGAUGUUACAGAUUCGAGUUCUGUACCGCCCA